AGUAUAAGGUGGAGUAUCUUACAUACGCUUUUCAAAUGUAUGUAAGAUACUCCACCUUAUACU
rnacentral:miRNA from 1 species